GUCUAUGGCCAUGCCACCCUGAACAAGCCCAAUCCCAUCUAAUCUCGGAAGCUAAGCAGGGUCGGGCCUGGUUAGUACUUGGAUGGGAGACCACCUGGGAAGACCAGGUGCUGUAGGCA
rnacentral:rRNA from 1 species